ensembl:lncRNA LINC00332 long intergenic non-protein coding RNA 332
CAAGGAAAAUGCGAUCCCAGCACGGCCUGGCGUGUUCCUGGCGGCAGAAAGGAUUCUUAAGGAGAAAACGGCGACCGGUUCUUUUCCAUGUCCCCCGGAACAAAGCAAGGAGAAAUGAACUUCAGCUGCAGCAGAAUUCCUUCAAUUACACGUAUGUUUUCAGCAGCCGGGCCAAUCCUCCUCCUCACAGGGGUGAGGUCAGCAAACCCAGGAAGCUCUCAGAGCCAAGAAAGCCUCAGAUCCAGGAGGAAGUAGUUAUGGAUGCCCAUAGCUGAAGUGCUCUGUGUCCACUGGAAGUAAAAGGAGCAGGUUCCUGCCGAAGAAUGUACAGACGACGUGAAAUCAUGUGUGGCUACACUGAAGCUAAAGGCUGCCAGCCAACCAUAGCCAGUUGGGGAUAUAAACCUCUAAAAACCAAAACUGGGGAAAAAUGGCUCCCCAUUUUCUGAGGUACUCUUGGAGCACAAGCUGAAUGAAAACCAAUCAUCAUUGCCCUGCCUAGCAUGAAGCAGAAUGAAAAGAAGGCAGAUAAUAUUUCCUCCCCUGAACCACUCAUCCAUAUCUGCUCUAUUCAGAUAUUUGUGCCUAGGCAACUGCACCCACCCCUCUCAGCAUUUACCCACAGAUCCUCAAAACCAAGCCCUAGCACAAUCGACUCCAGUGAAAAUUAAAAAAGCUAUCCCAAACAUCUCCAAGCUUCUUUCCUCUGCAACUUCCCUCCUUCUUCUUCAUCACCAGUUAUACCACCAAAGUAUCUACAACUGCUCAGAUGCAGGCAAACUACCCUGAAAGUGCUCACAUGUAUUUCUUCCUUCCCUUGAGGGUGAUAUUCUACAGUAAUUCCAUUAUGUUUACAAAUAGAAAAGUUAUUUCAAUACAUCUGUAUAUUAUAUAUAUGUAUAUAUAUACACACAUAGCUUUUAUAUCACUGACACAGUGUUACAUGCAAUAAAGAGAGGAAUUAUUUAUAUCAGUACAA